rnacentral:rRNA from 1 species
AGAGUUUGAUCCUGGCUCAGAACGAACGCUGGCGGCACGCCUAACACAUGCAAGUCGAGCGCAGUCNUUNGGGACCGAGCGGCGGACGGGUUAGUAACGCGUGGGAACAUACCCUACUCUAAGGAAUAGCCUCGGGAAACUGAGAGUAAUACCUUAUACGCCCUUCGGGGGAAAGAUUUAUCGGAGAAGGAUUGGCCCGCGUUAGAUUAGAUAGUUGGUGGGGUAACGGCCUACCAAGUCGACGAUCUAUAGCUGGUUUGAGAGGAUGAUCAGCAACACUGGGACUGAGACACGGCCCAGACUCCUACGGGAGGCAGCAGUGGGGAAUCUUAGACAAUGGGCGCAAGCCUGAUCUAGCGAUGCCGCGUGAGUGAUGAAGGUCCUUAGGAUCGUAAAGCUCUUUCACCAGGGAUGAUAAUGACAGUACCUGGAAAAGAAACCCCGGCA